GGUUAAGCGACUAAGCGUACACGGUGGAUGCCCUGGCAGUCAGAGGCGAUGAAGGACGUGCUAAUCUGCGAAAAGCGUCGGUAAGGUGAUAUGAACCGUUAUAGCCGGCGAUGUCCGAAUGGGGAAACCCAGUGCAAUUCGUUGCACUAUCGUUAACUGAAUACAUAGGUUAACGAGGCGAACCGGGGGAACUGAAACAUCUAAGUACCCCGAGGAAAAGAAAUCAACCGAGAUUCCCCCAGUAGCGGCGAGCGAACGGGGAGCAGCCCAGAGUCUGAAUCAGCUUGUGUGUUAGUGGAACGGUCUGGAAAGUCCGACGGUACAGGGUGAUAGUCCCGUACACCAAAAUGCACAGGCUGUGAACUCGAAGAGUAGGGCGGGACACGUGGUAUCCUGUCUGAAUAUGGGGGGACCAUCCUCCAAGGCUAAAUACUCCUGACUGACCGAUAGUGAACCAGUACCGUGAGGGAAAGGCGAAAAGAACCCCGGCGAGGGGAGUGAAAAAGAACCUGAAACCGUGUACGUACAAGCAGUGGGAGCACCUUCGGGUGUGACUGCGUACCUUUUGUAUAAUGGGUCAGCGACUUAUAUUCUGUAGCAAGGUUAACCGUAUAGGGGAGCCGCAGGGAAACCGAGUCUUAACUGGGCGUUAAGUUGCAGGGUAUAGACCCGAAACCCGGUGAUCUAGCCAUGGGCAGGUUGAAGGUUGGGUAACACUAACUGGAGGACCGAACCGACUAAUGUUGAAAAAUUAGCGGAUGACUUGUGGCUGGGGGUGAAAGGCCAAUCAAACCGGGAGAUAGCUGGUUCUCCCCGAAAGCUAUUUAGGUAGCGCCUCGUGAACUCAUCUUCGGGGGUAGAGCACUGUUUCGGCUAGGGGGUCAUCCCGACUUACCAACCCGAUGCAAACUACGAAUACCGAAGAAUGUUAUCACGGGAGACACACGGCGGGUGCUAACGUCCGUCGUGAAGAGGGAAACAACCCAGACCGCCAGCUAAGGUCCCAAAGUCAUGGUUAAGUGGGAAACGAUGUGGGAAGGCACAGACAGCCAGGAUGUUGGCUUAGAAGCAGCCAUCAUUUAAAGAAAGCGUAAUAGCUCACUGGUCGAGUCGGCCUGCGCGGAAGAUGUAACGGGGCUAAACCAUGCACCGAAGCUGCGGCAGCGACACUAUGUGUUGUUGGGUAGGGGAGCGUUCUGUAAGCCUGCGAAGGUGACCUGUGAGGGUUGCUGGAGGUAUCAGAAGUGCGAAUGCUGACAUAAGUAACGAUAAAGCGGGUGAAAAGCCCGCUCGCCGGAAGACCAAGGGUUCCUGUCCAACGUUAAUCGGGGCAGGGUGAGUCGACCCCUAAGGCGAGGCCGAAAGGCGUAGUCGAUGGGAAACAGGUUAAUAUUCCUGUACUUGGUGUUACUGCGAAGGGGGGACGGAGAAGGCUAUGUUAGCCGGGCGACGGUUGUCCCGGUUUAAGCAUGUAGGCUGGUUAUCCAGGCAAAUCCGGAUAAUCAAGGCUGAGGUGUGAUGACGAGGCACUACGGUGCUGAAGUAACAAAUGCCCUGCUUCCAGGAAAAGCCUCUAAGCAUCAGGUAACAUCAAAUCGUACCCCAAACCGACACAGGUGGUCAGGUAGAGAAUACCAAGGCGCUUGAGAGAACUCGGGUGAAGGAACUAGGCAAAAUGGUGCCGUAACUUCGGGAGAAGGCACGCUGGUGUGUAGGUGAAGUCCCUGCGGAUGGAGCUGAGACCAGUCGAAGAUACCAGCUGGCUGCAACUGUUUAUUAAAAACACAGCACUGUGCAAACACGAAAGUGGACGUAUACGGUGUGACGCCUGCCCGGUGCCGGAAGGUUAAUUGAUGGGGUUAUCCGUAAGGAGAAGCUCUUGAUCGAAGCCCCGGUAAACGGCGGCCGUAACUAUAACGGUCCUAAGGUAGCGAAAUUCCUUGUCGGGUAAGUUCCGACCUGCACGAAUGGCGUAAUGAUGGCCAGGCUGUCUCCACCCGAGACUCAGUGAAAUUGAACUCGCUGUGAAGAUGCAGUGUACCCGCGGCAAGACGGAAAGACCCCGUGAACCUUUACUAUAGCUUGACACUGAACAUUGAGCCUUGAUGUGUAGGAUAGGUGGGAGGCUUUGAAGCGUGGACGCCAGUCUGCGUGGAGCCAACCUUGAAAUACCACCCUUUAAUGUUUGAUGUUCUAACGUGGGCCCCUGACCGGGGUUGCGGACAGUGUCUGGUGGGUAGUUUGACUGGGGCGGUCUCCUCCCAAAGCGUAACGGAGGAGCACGAAGGUUAGCUAAUCCUGGUCGGACAUCAGGAGGUUAGUGCAAUGGCAUAAGCUAGCUUGACUGCGAGCGUGACGGCGCGAGCAGGUGCGAAAGCAGGUCAUAGUGAUCCGGUGGUUCUGAAUGGAAGGGCCAUCGCUCAACGGAUAAAAGGUACUCCGGGGAUAACAGGCUGAUACCGCCCAAGAGUUCAUAUCGACGGCGGUGUUUGGCACCUCGAUGUCGGCUCAUCACAUCCUGGGGCUGAAGUAGGUCCCAAGGGUAUGGCUGUUCGCCAUUUAAAGUGGUACGCGAGCUGGGUUUAGAACGUCGUGAGACAGUUCGGUCCCUAUCUGCCGUGGGCGCUGGAGAAUUGAGGGGGGCUGCUCCUAGUACGAGAGGACCGGAGUGGACGCAUCACUGGUGUUCGGGUUGUCAUGCCAAUGGCACUGCCCGGUAGCUAAAUGCGGAAGAGAUAAGUGCUGAAAGCAUCUAAGCACGAAACUUGCCCCGAGAUGAGUUCUCCCUGAGACUUUAAGUCUCCUGAAGGAACGUUGAAGACGACGACGUUGAUAGGCCGGGUGUGUAAGCGCAGCGAUGCGUUGAGCUAACCGGUACUAAUGAACCGUGAGGCUUAACCUU
rnacentral:rRNA from 1 species